AUUAACACCAUCCUGGACACACUAGGGGAGAACGACUUUGUCAACGUCAUCGCCUACAGCGACUAUGUCCAAUACGUUGAACCCUGCUUCAAGGGCACCCUGGUCCAGGCUGACCUGGACAACCGAGAGGCUGCAUCUUUGGGUCAGGGCAGUCUGUGUAACCAGGCCAUCAUGCUGAUCACUGACGGAGCCAUGGAGG